rnacentral:rRNA from 1 species
GAUGAACGCUGGCGGCGUGCUUAACACAUGCAAGUCGAACGGAAAGGCACAAGCUUGCUUGUGUACUCGAGUGCCGAACGGGUGCGUAACACGAGGGCGAUCUGCCCUGCACUUCGGGAUAAGCUUGGGAAACUGGGUCUAAUACCGGAUAGGACGCUGGCUUGGAUGCCAAUGUGGAAAGCUUUUUAGGUGUGGGAUGAGCUCGCGGCCUAUCAGCAUGUUGGUGGGGUAAAGGCCUACCAAGGCGGAGACGGGGAGCCGGCCCGGUUGGGGUGACGGACAGACUGGAACCGGAAGGCAGGCCAGACUCCGAAGGAUGGGAGGAUGGGGGAAAUAUUGAUCAAGCGAUACAGCCUGGUUGAAGCAGGCCGUCGGGGGGAAGACCGCCUUUGGUGUGGAAGCUACUUUCGCGAGGGACGAAGCGUUUUUGUGACGGUACCUAGAGAAGAAGCACCGGCUAACUACGUG